GCUUACACUAUGAGAGAGGCUUCCAUGACGGCGACGUUUGGGGGCCUUUUUCUUUUGCUGUUGCUCUUCCU
rnacentral:antisense_RNA from 1 species